rnacentral:rRNA from 3 species
GUUCGUAGUGACCUGCGGAAGGAUCAUUA